rnacentral:rRNA from 1 species
AUGAACGCUGGCGGCGUGCCUAAUCCAUGCAAGUCGAGCGAACGGACGAGAAGCUUGCUUCUCUGAUGUUAGCGGCGGACGGGUGAGUAACACGUGGAUAACCUACCUAUAAGACUGGGAUAACUUCGGGAAACCGGAGCUAAUACCGGAUAAUAUUUUGAACCGCAUGGUUCAAAAGUGAAAGACGGUCUUGCUGUCACUUAUAGAUGGAUCCGCGCUGCAUUAGCUAGUUGGUAAGGUAACGGCUUACCAAGGCAACGAUGCAUAGCCGACCUGAGAGGGUGAUCGGCCACACUGGAACUGAGACACGGUCCAGACUCCUACGGGAGGCAGCAGUAGGGAAUCUUCCGCAAUGGGCGAAAGCCUGACGGAGCAACGCCGCGUGGGUGAUGAAGGUCUUCGGAUCGUAAAACUCUGUUAUUAGGGAAGAACAUAUGUGUAAGUAACUGUGCACAUCUUGACGGUACCUAAUCAGAAAGCCACGGCUAACUACGUG